GGGGCUGUAGUGUAGCUUGGAGCCACGGGCGCCCAGAGGGCGAUUGGGGUUCGUCCAACCGGAGUUCGAAUCUUCGCAGCCCCA
rnacentral:tRNA from 1 species